rnacentral:misc_RNA from 1 species
AAAGUCGUAACAAGGUUUCCGUAGGUGAACCUGCGGAAGGAUCAUUAACACGUAUCCAACGUUAAACCCCCCUGAACCUUCAUUGUGCUCCCCCAUUCCGUUAGGACGCGGCAAUCCCUGGUAAAUCAUCGCCGAACAGUUUUGAUUCAGGGACCUCUGGCAGUAACGAUCGCUAGAGGCCGACACGGCCGGCGACCGGGUCACCGGGCUCACGCCCCCCUAUCACCUUUGCAUGAAACGGGCCUGCGCUUAAUUGUGCGGCCACCAAACUCGAACAACUGUUAACAAUGGAUAUCUUGGUUCUC